GCACUGAUGGUCUAACGGUAAGACUCCUCCGUCGCGAGCGAGGUGAUGCGGUUUCGAUUCCUGCUCGGUGCUCUA
rnacentral:tRNA from 1 species